rnacentral:rRNA from 1 species
UUGCUAUGACGGGGGUUCCGGCCUGAGAGGGUGAACGGACACACUGGAACUGAGACACGGUCCAGACUCCUACGGGAGGCAGCAGUAGGGAAUAUUGCUCAAUGGGGGAAACCCUGAAGCAGCAACGCCGCGUGGAGGAUGAAGGUUUUAGGAUUGUAAACUCCUUUUGUUAGAGAAGAUAAUGACGGUAUCUAACGAAUAAGCACCGGCUAACUCCGUGCCAGCAGCCGCGGUAAUACGGAGGGUGCAAGCGUUACUCGGAAUCACUGGGCGUAAAGAGCGCGUAGGCGGGAUAGUCAGUCAGGUGUGAAAUCCUAUGGCUUAACCAUAGAACUGCAUUUGAAACUACUAUUCUAGAGUGUGGGAGAGGUAGGUGGAAUUCUUGGUGUAGGGGUAAAAUCCGUAGAGAUCAAGAGGAAUACUCAUUGCGAAGGCGACCUGCUGGAACAUUACUGACGCUGAUUGCGCGAAAGCGUGGGGAGCAAACAGGAUUAGAUACCCUGGUAGUCCACGCCCUAAACGAUGGAUGCUAGUUGUUGGAGGGCUUAGUCUCUCCAGUAAUGCAGCUAACGCAUUAAGCAUCCCGCCUGGGGAGUACGGUCGCAAGAUUAAAACUCAAAGGAAUAGACGGGGACCCGCACAAGCGGUGGAGCAUGUGGUUUAAUUCGAAGAUACACGAAGAACCUUACCUAGGCUUGACAUUGAGAGAAUCCGCUAGAAAUAGUGGAGUGUCUAGCUUGCUAGACCUUGAAAACAGGUGCUGCACGGCUGUCGUCAGCUCGUGUCGUGAGAUGUUGGGUUAAGUCCCGCAACGAGCGCAACCCCCUUUCUUAGUUGCUAACAGGUCAUGCUGAGAACUCUAAGGAUACUGCCUCCGUAAGGAGGAGGAAGGUGGGGACGACGUCAAGUCAUCAUGGCCCUUACGCCUAGGGCUACACACGUGCUACAAUGGGGUGCACAAAGAGAAGCAAUACUGCGAAGUGGAGCCAAUCUUCAAAACGCCUCUCAGUUCGGAUUGUAGGCUGCAACUCGCCUGCAUGAAGUGGAAU